AUUGAACGCUGGCGGCAUGCCUUACACAUGCAAGUCGAACGGUAACAGGUUAAGCUGACGAGUGGCGAACGGGUGAGUAAUGUAUCGGAACGUGCCCAGUCGUGGGGGAUAACUGCUCGAAAGAGCAGCUAAUACCGCAUACGACCUGAGGGUGAAAGCGGGGGAUCGCAAGACCUCGCGCGAUUGGAGCGGCCGAUAUCAGAUUAGGUAGUUGGUGGGGUAAAGGCUCACCAAGCAAACGAUCUGUAGCUGGUCUGAGAGGACGACCAGCCACACUGGGACUGAGAAACGGCCCAGACUCCUACGGGAGGCAGCAGUGGGGAAUUUUGGACAAUGGGCGCAAGCCUGAUCCAGCCAUGCCGCGUGCGGGAAGAAGGCCUUCGGGUUGUAAACCGCUUUUGUCAGGGAAGAAAAGGUUCUGGCUAAUACCUGGGACUCAUGACGGUACCUGAAGAAUAAGCACCGGCUAACUACGUGCCAGCAGCCGCCGUAAAAC
rnacentral:rRNA from 1 species